rnacentral:rRNA from 1 species
CCUACGGGCGGCAGCAGUGAGGAAUAUUGGUCAAUGGGCGCGAGCCUGAACCAGCAACGUAGCGUGAAGGAUGACUGCCCUACGGGUUGUAAACUUCUUUUAUAAAGGAAUAAAGUGAGGCACGUGUGCCUUUUUGUCUGUACUUUAUGAAUAAGGAUCGGCCAACUCCGUGCCAGCAGCAGCGGUAAUACGGAGGUUCCGAGCGUUAUCCGGAUUUAUUGGGUUUAAAGGGAGCGUAGAUGGGUUGUUAAGUCAGUUGUGAAAGUUUGCGGCUCAACCGUAGAAUUGCAAUUGAUACUGGGAGUCUUGAGUACAGUAGAGGUAGGCGGAAUUCGUGGUGUAGCGGUGAAAUGCGUAGAUAUCACGAAGAACACCGAUGGCGAAGGCAGCUUACUAAACUGCCACUGACAUUGAUGCUCGAAAGUGUGGGUAUCAAACAGGAUUAGAUACCCGAGUAGUC